UAGAGUUUGAUCCUGGCUCAGGAUGAACGCUGGCGGCGUGCCUAAUACAUGCAAGUCGAACGCACAGCGAAAGGUGCUUGCACCUUUCAAGUGAGUGGCGAACGGGUGAGUAACACGUGGAUAACCUACCUCAAGGUUGGGGAUAACAUUUGGAAACAGAUGCUAAUACCGAAUAAAACUUAGUAUCGCAUGAUACCAGGUUAAAAGGCGCUACGGCGUCACCUAGAGAUGGAUCCGCGGUGCAUUAGUUAGUUGGUGGGGUAAAGGCUUACCAAGACAAUGAUGCAUAGCCGAGUUGAGAGACUGAUCGGCCACAUUGGGACUGAGACACGGCCCAAACUCCUACGGGAGGCUGCAGUAGGGAAUCUUCCACAAUGGGCGAAAGCCUGGUGGAGCAACGCCGCGUGUGUGAUGAAGGCUUUCGGGUCGUAAAGCACUGUUGUAUGGGAAGAACAGCUAGAGUAGGGAAUGACUUUAGUUUGACGGUACCAUACCAGAAAGGGACGGCUAAAUACGUGCCAGCAGCCGCGGUAAUACGUACGUCCCGAGCGUUAUCCGGAUUUAUUGGGCGUAAAGCGAGCGCAGACGGUUAAUUAAGUCUGAUGUGAAAGCCCGGAGCUCAACUCCGGAAAGGCAUUGGGAACUGGUUAACUUGAGUGCAGUAGAGGUAAGUGGAACUCCAUGUGUAGCGGUGGAAUGCGUAGAUAUAUGGAAGAACACCAGCGGCGAAGGCGGCUUACUGGA
rnacentral:rRNA from 1 species